rnacentral:lncRNA from 1 species
AAGUAAUGUACUUACUUUCAUAUAUUCCCUCAAUCCUCAUUCUUAAAACUGUUUAUAGCAGAACCACAGCAAUACAAUUUGUAGAAGUUGUAACUUUUGGCUUGAGCAGUAGUCUUCUGCCACGUGUCUAAAAGAACCAAUGUAUCAUCCAACCCAGUGGGCAGAGACCCACGCCCCACCACUCUCAUCUCUGAAUCAACUAGGUCAGUGGUUUCGGUGUAAAGUAGGCUGCCACUGGUAUUUCUCCCUUGUAAAAAACUUGUAAC